CCUUUCGCCGAACCCCACCCCGUGGCCCCGCCUCCCCCCAGCGCUGAUCUCAGCGCUGGGACUCCUGGCCACCAUCGACAGGCCAUCGCCGAGGUGCUGACCGAAGGAUUGCGGACCCCGACUGGAUGGACGGCGUCACCGACGCGGAUGGAUGGACUGACGGGCCACAGGAAGAGACAGUCGGGGGGCCGGGGGACCAGUAAAGGAAGCUGAGCUCCUCCCAGCUCCUCAGAGCCUCCACUCUAUGGAUCUGAACUGGAUUCUGCUCCUUCCUUGGACACCUCCUUCAGGAAGACUUCUCCAGUGGACCCUAAACAACCUUGAGCCCUCCUCACUUCACAGGAGCCCUUCGCUUACAGUGGCAAGGGGCUGGAUUCUGGGGAAGUCGCCUGUAUUAUUAAUUUCUUUGAGUGUGCCGCAUUUGACUUCGGCUUACGCUGUACAAUUGGAAAUGUUACAACAGGUCCAUGAGACACCAUGGGAUUAUUUGAGAGUACAGCAAACAUUUCCAAUGUGAAGGUGAAAAGGAUUUCUUUCAAAAAUAUAGUCAUCAUUGUUAAACGAGUCACGGUGCAGCUUGGUAGCGGCCAUUGCUUCUCAGUCUAACAGGGCGAAGACCUGUUUGAGGGAAAAUGGUCUGAGAAAUCCCUGUCUCCCUCAUUCACUGUCCUUGCCCUCUCCCUGUGGGCUGGAUUCUGGGGAAGUCGCCUGUAUUAUUAAUUUCUUUGAGUGUGCCACAUUUGACUUUGGCUUACGCCUGUGUGCCUGUGGCCCCUCACAAAGGUCAUUGUCUCUGGCUCCUGGGGAGACACACCUAUUUCUCAGAAAGAGGUGGUGGCCACAUAAGAACUCUCAGCAAAGUUUUAAAUGAGAAAAGGAACCACACUUAUUCAAACACCUGAUAAUAGAGAGAAGGGGGCCACCUUUACUCACACACAACCUGGAACUUGUAGAAUUCUGCAGAAUGUAUAUUGAGUCAGUCCUUUGAUUCAUACAUUCAGGAAGAAUAAAUGUCAAUAAUGUGAGACAAA